rnacentral:lncRNA from 1 species
CACAUGACAUGUUCAAAAUCAUCAUUCCCUCAGAUUUUGGUUAUCUUCACACUUGAGCACAAACUUAAUCACAGUCACUACUUACUAGUUCACAAUUAACCAAUUAAAACAAUGUUUUGAAUGUAGUAACAUGCCUUAGAGAAUUUGCUCAAUUCCUUACAAGAUACUCUCUAUUUUCACACACAUUUUCUGACUACACACCCUACACUAGAGAUUGGGACUCACAUAUGUUAUAACAAAUGAAGCAAUUUUCUGGAGUUAUUAAGCUAUUUAGAUAUGAUCUCAUGAAUGGUAUGCUACUACUUAGAUGCGAGAACCAGUGACACCAUAUGCUCAUAUCAAUUUUGAACUCCACAAAUUGAAACGCACAACACUCAAGAUUGAAGUCAAGGGUUGUAACAGGGCUUAGGGGUAAUGGCUAACAAAGAAAGGAUAGGAAUAACAAACGUUCUUAAAGCGAUAGCAAGCAAAGCAAUGAAAUAGACACUUGGAAUUCACUUUAGAAUGCAGAAUCUACUUUUACAUACAAAGGGAAGAUUCAUGCAACACUUAGGGCCGAAUUCAAUGUUUUGGACCCUUUUUUAACAAACAACACUUUAGAGCUCUUUUUCAUACUUUUUUUUUCUUUUCUCUACUUGUGCCUUAUUAAGGACUUUGAUACAAACACACACAAGAAUUACUUCCCCCACACUUGCUUUCUGCAAUACAUUGAUAAAAAAGGAGUUCAUUUUAGGUCAUGCUUUAUUAUGCUUCAAGAACAAGGGUAUGGAUAUCCUAAAACUAGGAUAGGUAAGGAUAGUGUGGGUUAACAAAGAACAUAGGCUUAACAAGGCUCAACGGGGUUAAACUUAAAAACAUAAUGAAAUAGGGGCACGUCAAUUUGGCUUUGGUGGUCACUACACAUCUUCAUCUUGAAUAUGUGUUAUGCAAAUCAAUAGCAUGCUUUGAAUGAAAUAGGCAUGAGUUCUAGCAUUUGGAACUAAAUGAUGAAACGCCUUCUAAGUAACAACCAAGCAAAGAAUAAUGAGAUCAUGCAACGACUUUAGAAAACAAUGAUGCACAGAUUAUUAACUCUCCAAAUAAACGUUUAGACUCAAGUCUCACAAGGUUGUAGCGUUCAUUUGAGUUCCUUACUUCAAGCAUGUUACAAAAACUGAUUUUUCCUUUAUGAUUGCAUGGGAAUUCAUAAAUUAUAACCACAACCAAGCAUACACCAAAAAGUAAAUCAAUUUUCAUCCAUGUUUAUAACUCUCUUUAACAGUCAUGUAAUUUAAAACCAAAUCCUCAUCAUUGUGUUGGAAGGUACCCUAAGACACAAAUAAACACACAAAAACAACUCUUUUUUGGGUUUUUCAAAACAAUUUUGUUUUCAAAUUUUUAUGAGAUUUUUGGAUUUUUAUGUCAAAACACACUAAAACACUCCAAAAAAGCUUAAAAAAAACACUUAAAAAUAGCAAGGAACAACACUAGAAGUAAUGAGUGAUAAACUCCUAUGAAUUUCAUGCAAAACAACAUGGUUACCCCCCCAUACUUAAAUCAAACAUUAUCCCCAAUGUUUCAAGCAUAAACUCACACAAAAACAAGCAAACAAACAAACAACAAAUAAAAAUGACAAGUAUGGUAAAGUAAAAACCAGACAGAGUAGAGUUUAAGAACGCAAAUUUGGUUUUGGAGAUAAAUGAUCUUGGCGACUUUCCACAGCUUUGAUCUCGAACUGGUUUGGAAUUCUGAGCGAGGAAUAUCAGAGUUCCUUGGUUUCAAAUCAGACUCUUUCUGCUGGGUUGAUUUGAUUGUGCAGUCUGCAUUCUU